UACAGAGGUGGCAAGCGUUGUUCGGAAUUACUGGGCGUAAAGGGCUCGUAGGCGGCCAACUAAGUCGGACGUGAAAUCCCUCAGCUUAACUGGGGAACUGCGUCCGAUACUGGAUGGCUUGGAUUUGGGAGAGGGAUGCGGAAUUCCAGGUGUAGCGGUGAAAUGCGUAGAUAUCUGGAGGAACACCGGUGGCGAAGGCGGCAUCCUGGACCGAGAUUGACGCUGAGGCGCGAAAGCCAGGGGAGCAAACGGG
rnacentral:rRNA from 1 species